GAUGAACGCUGGCGGCGUGCCUAAUACAUGCAAGUCGAGCGAACAGACGAAGAAUUUGCUCCUCUGAAGAUAGCGGCGGACGGGUGAGUAACAAGUGGAUAAUAUACCUAUAAGAAUGGACUAACUUCGGGAAAACAGAGCUAAUAAAGGGUAAUAUAUAGAACAGAAUGGUUCAAUAGUGAAAGACGGUUUUGCUGACACUUCUAGAUGAAUCCGCGCCGGAUUAGCUAGUUGGUAAGGUAACGGCUUACCAAGGCAACGAUGUGUAGACGACCUGAGAGAGUGAUCGGUCACACGGGAGAUGAGGCACGGGCCAGACUUCGACCGGAGGCAGCAGUCAGGAAUCUACCGCAAUGAGCGAAAGCCAGACUUAGCAACUCCACGUGAGUGAUGUAGGUCUUCGGAUCGUAAAACUCUGUUAUUAUGGAAUAACAAAUGUGUAUUUAACUAUGCGCGUCUGGACGGUACCUAAGCAGAAAGCCACGCCUAACUACGU
rnacentral:rRNA from 1 species